rnacentral:rRNA from 1 species
AGAAUCAACGCUGGCGGCGUGCCUAACACAUGCAAGUCGCACGAGAAAGGGUAGCAAUACCUGAGUACAGUGGCGCACGGGUGAGUAACACGUGAAUAAUCUACCUCCGAGUGGGGAAUAACUGAGAGAAAUCUUAGCUAAUACCGCAUAAUACCCACGGGUCAAAGCAGCAAUGCGCUUGGAGAGGAGUUCGCGGCAGAUUAGUUAGUUGGCGGGGUAAUGGCCCACCAAGACGAUGAUCUGUAUCCGGCCUGAGAGGGCGCACGGACACACUGGAACUGAAACACGGUCCAGACUCCUACGGGAGGCAGCAGUGGGGAAUUUUGCGCAAUGGGGGAAACCCUGACGCAGCAACGCCGCGUGGAGGAUGAAGCCCCUUGGGGUGUAAACUCCUUUCGAUCGGGAAGAUAAUGACGGUACCGAUAUAAGAGCCCGGCUAACGUUCGCGCCAGCAGCCGC